UACGUAGGGUGCAAGCGUUGUCCGGAAUUAUUGGGCGUAAAGAGCUCGUAGGCGGUCUGUCGCGUCUGCUGUGAAAACUCGGGGCUUAACCCCGGGCCUGCAGUGGGUACGGGCAGACUAGAGUGCGGUAGGGGAGACUGGAAUUCCUGGUGUAGCGGUGAAAUGCGCAGAUAUCAGGAGGAACACCGGUGGCGAAGGCGGCAUCCUGGACCGGCAUUGACGCUGAGGCGCGAAAGCCAGGGGAGCGAACGGG
rnacentral:rRNA from 1 species